AUUGAACGCUGGCGGCAUGCUUUACACAUGCAAGUCGAACGGUAACAGGCCUUCGGGUGCUGACGAGUGGCGAACGGGUGAGUAAUGCACCGGAACGUGCCCAAUCGUGGGGGAUAACGUAGCGAAAGUUACGCUAAUACCGCAUAAGCCCUGAGGGGGAAAGCAGGGGAUCGCAAGACCUUGCGCGAAUGGAGCGGCCGAUGUCAGAUUAGCUAGUUGGUGGGGUAAAGGCCUACCAAGGCGACGAUCUGUAGCGGGUCUGAGAGGAUGAUCCGCCACACUGGGACUGAGACACGGCCCAGACUCCUACGGGAGGCAGCAGUGGGGAAUUUUGGACAAUGGGCGCAAGCCUGAUCCAGCCAUGCCGCGUGCGGGACGAA
rnacentral:rRNA from 1 species